rnacentral:lncRNA from 10 species
CUUUUGGGCGCCAUCAGCGGUGCAGCCAGUGAUCACUCCCAGGCUCUGAGAAACUAGAGAUGUCAGCCACAAACCCUCCGUUCAGGGAAAGUUUGCGGCGCCGUGACGGAUCGACUGGCACUGGGUGCAACAUUGUCUUGUGGCCUAGAGACUAGAAUAUAAAAACAAAAACCAAAUACAAAACUGCUGCUGGCAUUACUCCUACUCUCCCCCCUCAAGUCAGUGGCUUCAGGCUUAAGAAAACCUGUAUUUUUCUUGGCUGUGCCAUAAUCCGUAAUUACCGAGGCCCCCAGCGACCCACCCAGUGUGAUUCGCAGAGGGAAAGGAGCUGGAAUAAGGACCGUGAAUGGGGCGGAUGUGGCUCGUCCUGGGAGAGAGCUAAAGCUUAUGCUGGUCGCAAACAGCAUUACAUUGCAGGAAACUGCUCUUCCAAUGGCCGUGGCUGGGUCCUUCCACACCAUCCCUCUGCCCUAGACCUUUGUCCCCGUUCAGAGCCAUCAGAGAUUCUAGGAGAGCUGUCGACAACCGCAUCUCUUCGGAACUUGGAAACUCUAGGUUCAAGAUCUCCGUGGAGAAUGAAAGGCACAGUCGCCUGACCCGGGCAUCAGGCUUGCCCCGCACAUCAAGUCCCUCCCCUACUGGAUGGAACUCUGUGGCAAUCGCUCCUUAUUCUGAUGGUUCACUCUGUCAGAUAUCCUCGAUAUUUGGGGAUAGUAGUUCAAAAACAGCCGGGGAGGAAAAUGGGCUGAAAGAUUCCAGCGUUGGAUGUAGAAUUGACAGCGAGACAUACACCUCCUCUCUAAGCCCAGAGAAAAGCUCAAGUUGUGGUUCUCUGUCUCUAGCAGCAUGAUCUUCAAAAUGCAUCAUUGAUUUCUAUCUUCUGGGAAAUGCAAUGCAGGUGAACUUGUAAGUGCUCAAAUCCUCCAUCUCCUCACUUUUCAGACUGAGGCCUUUUUUUUUUUAAAUCUGAGAAGAAAUAUGGGACUGCCACUGCUCAGUAGGAAAAUGUCCUUUCCCACAAGCAUUUAUAUUUUAAUAAAAAUCUGCACUUUGUGAGUUGAGCCCCCUCAAAGAGACCUACAAACCCUGCCACAAAUAUCUCCAACCACACUCAUCAUUUCCGAUUUUCAUCACUGCUGCUCCUGUGCAAACCAAACUAUCCUUUCCCUGGGGCAUCCUAGGUAGAGGCCAUGCCAGGACAAAGGCAGAGAUAUGCCUGCCUGGUAAGGAAAUCCAUUUUGGCCUUGUAAUUCUCACCCUCUCCCAAGAUGUUUGCCUCAAUAUCUCCUUCCCACCUUACCCCGUCUUCAGCUAGCCAAAACAUUCCCUGGUAUUUGAGGCCCUUCCAAUUUCCUCCUGGUUUUGUGGGUGGGAGAAUAAAGAAAAAACUGCACUGUUCCCACCCACAUAGUUACAGCCACUUUAUCAAACGGAAGAGCAGUCUGGAGCCAUUGCAAAACAAAAUACCUGCCACAACUCCUCUCUUCUCAUUUCGACUCCAGCUUUUCAUCUUAGCAAAAAAGUUGCAAUCAGCACCCCCUAGACGGAAGGAAUAUCCUGUCUUAAUGGGAGUCCAUAGGAGGCUGCAGGCUGCUCCCCUACAGAGACUAACAUCAAGGUAGUUGCAGAAUUCAGAUUCUAAUUACAGUGUGGUUGGAGGCGGGGUGGAUUCCAGGGAGGUCAGGAAGAGGUAAAGUACAGAAUUGAGCUCCUUGGGAGGAGGUCAUAGGAACUUUGCAGUAUGAAAAUGGCUAGAGAUUGGGUAGAAUUGAGCAGGCUGGCAAUGGCAGUUUUGUGUGGGUGGUAGGACCUAGGAUUCAAACUUGAGGGCAAAUUGUGGAGCACAUACGACAAAUGAUGUAGAGCCUUUCCUAUUUCCCUUCCUGCUGUGUCAUCCGAAACAAUAAAUAAUAAAGAAUUAACAAAGAC